rnacentral:rRNA from 1 species
ACCAGACUCCUACGGGAGGCAGCAGUGGGGGAUAUUGCACAAUGGGGGGAACCCUGAUGCAGCGACGCCGCGUGGGUGAAGGAGUAUUUCGGUAUGUAAAGCCCUAUCGGCAGGGAAGAAGCAAGACGGUACCUGACUAAGAAGCCCCGGCUAACUACGUGCCAGCAGCCGCGGUAAUACGUAGGGGGCGAGCGUUAUCCGGAUUCACUGGGUGUAAAGGGAGCGUAGACGGCCAAGCAAGCCAGGGGUGAAAGCCCGGGGCCCAACCCCGGGACUGCCCUUGGAACUGCAUGGCUGGAGUGCGGGAGGGGCAGGCGGAAUUCCUGGUGUAGCGGUGAAAUGCGUAGAUAUCAGGAGGAACACCGGUGGCGAAGGCGGCCUGCUGGACUGCAACUGACGUUGAGGCCCGAAAGCGUGGGGAGCAAACAGGAUUAGAUACCCCAGUAC